UAGUCCACGCCCUAAACGAUGCUAACUCGAUGUAUGAGACAUAAGUGCUUGUGCGUCUAAGCGAAAGCGAUAAGUUAGCCACCUGGGGAGUACGUCGGCAACGAUGAAACUCAAAGGAAUUGACGGGGGCCCGCACAAGCGGUGGAGCAUGUGGUUUAAUUCGAUGCAACGCGAAGAACCUUACCAGGUCUUGACAUCCUGAAAACUUUCUAGAGAUAGAUUGGUGCCUUCGGGAAUUCAGUGACAGGUGCUGCAUGGCUGUCGUCAGCUCGUGUCGUGAGAUGUUGGGUUAAGUCCCGCAACGAGCGCAACCCUUAUUUUAGUUGCCAUAUGGAACUCUAGAAAGACUGCCGGUUAUAAACCGGAGGAAGGCGGGGAUGACGUCAAGUCAGCAUGCCCCUUAAACCCUGGGCUACACACGUGCUACAAUGGGCGAGACAAUGAGAUGCAACUCUGCGAAGAUUAGCUAAUCUAUAAACUCGUUCUAAGUUCGGAUUG
rnacentral:rRNA from 1 species